rnacentral:rRNA from 1 species
UACAGAGGGGGCAAGCGUUAUUCGGAAUUACUGGGCGUAAAGGGCUCGUAGGCGGCCAACUAAGUCAGACGUGAAAUCCCUCGGCUUAACCGGGGAACUGCGUCUGAUACUGGAUGGCUUGAGUUCGGGAGAGGGAUGCGGAAUUCCAGGUGUAGCGGUGAAAUGCGUAGAUAUCUGGAGGAACACCGGUGGCGAAGGCGGCAUCCUGGACCGACACUGACGCUGAGGCGCGAAAGCGUGGGGAGCAAACAGG